GGCACUUAUGUUCCAGUAAGAACAGGCUGCAACAGAAAUGCUGAUGAGAAAUAAGUUUGGGCUAUACUAAUUGCUGUAAAGGAAAUAAAUGAGCUUAUCUCAUAAAGUGUGACUGGAUGUUUGCUAAGGGCAGGAUUGGGUAGAUGAUGUUUAGGUGGGACAGUCAAGGUAAAUUCAGUCAUCCUCUGGGCCACACAAAAAAUUUACCUCUUCCUUUCUGUUCCUAGAAAUCCACGGAUCAAAUAUUUAACAUUUCCCUACUACUAAAUUUUUUUUUUAACUUGGAGUUCAAGGAUGUGCUCCUGGGCAUGACUGAACUCCAUGAAAACACAUGCUAAAAUUAGUGAUUAUAUGUGCUGAUACAUUCUUUUUGUGGGGGACUUACAGCUUUCACCACAUUCUCAAAGAAAGCCACGACCCAAAAGAUCCCCACUCUGUCAAUAUAAUUUUAAUCCCAAAUUUAUUAAGCAUCUAUAUGACAAACACUGAGUGUCUGUCCUCCGUCUUGCAAUCCUCAAGAAUUUGGCUUGUUUCAGACAGGAAAGAAAUUAACAUCCUGGCAUUAUCAGUAAUUUUUUUUUUUUUCCUCCAUGAGAACUCAAGAUUAAGCUGUUCCUUAAAAUGAAACAAAACAAACCAAACCAAGAAAAACUCUAAAGGGACUUUUAAAUUUUUGGACCAAAUACAAUCCAAUUAUUUUACGUGAUCUAACCUUUAGAGCACACUCUUACCAGAUCUGGUGGCCAAAGCCUCUACUAUGAGGCCUGUCCUACAUCUAUUUGAGUAUGGAGAACAUUCUCAUAAUUCUAAUGCAGCCUUUUGGCAGCACUAUUAGAAUCUGAAUGAAAGUGAGCAGAUAUGGUGUGUUCCAUCAAAUAUAACUGCAAACUCCUCUUCUGAAACUAGUUACCACAGCAACACACAUACAGCACAAUGAAAGAUUACAACACUUGCCUUGGUUUAAAAGUCAUUGCAGUUGAUAUGCAUGUAAUCUACAGUUACAGAAAAAUGAUUUUUAUUAAAAAAAAAAAACUCCAACCACAUUUAUAUAAAGUCAUGCUGAGUAGAGAAUUGAGACUGCUUCCAUCAGAGAGAUUUUGUUUGAUUUUUUAAGAAGAUAUCCAUUAGCUCCCACUCCAAUAUGAGCCAAAAAUAAUAAAAAUAAAUAUUCUCAUUCUCUCUGCUAUGUUUUCAUUAAACUCCACUAGAAACUGCUCUUGGAAGCUGUAGUAUGCAUUGAAAAAGAAGCUGAACAUGUCUCUAUAUGAGUAAUGAGUUCUUAUACUCAAAUGACAUUCUUGCCCUUCAAGUAAAGCCUGGCCCAGCAAGUGGUUAAAGUGCAUAAUUUAUCUAUGAUUAGCUUUUCUUGACAUUCUUCCUUGGAAAACGUGCACUUAGCAAAUAUAACCCAAAUAACUCUGCCCAUUGUACAUUGUUUUCUAUUUGUCAAGGCUAUUCCAUUUCUAGUCUUUCGUGUAAUGCCUUACAACAUCCUUGUGGACUAGGGAGGGCAAAACAUUAUCUGUUCUGUAUGACAAAUGAGUAAACAAAACAUUUAUGUUUCAGUGUAUCUCUCCAUACAUAUUCCACAGGCAGUAUGUUCCAAACUAAAAUCCUUCUCUCUCCUCCACCUACCACCCUAAUCUAUUUUUCCUCCCUACUCCAGUUAACAAAAAUAUCAUUCUCUCCAUAGCCUUGCUUUGUACCAUAUAUUUGGCUCUUUAAAUGCACCUGUCCCUUCUGUUAUCAGAUUUCGAUGACAAAUAAGAUCUAAUGACAUCUAAAAUUUAAGUCUGUUAUUCCAGAUACGUGCUCUCAACCAUUACCUUCCAAUUUGUUUGGUUCACUCACUGCUUCCUGCUCUAUUCAAUCAACCCUCUAAUCUCCAUCCCAGAAAGAGAUGCCCUGUUUAAAAAUACAUCUUUUGUUAAGUGACCUCUGAUUCUCUCCUAUAUAAUCAGUUUUACCUUUUGCUUUGGCCAAAGGCCACUUUCAUCAGCUAUGGCUCUAUACAAUACUCCCCAAGCAAGCAAGCUCCUCACUUAACAAGUCAGGUUAAAGGGUGGUUUUAUACUUCCCCUCAUAACUCACCUCUCUUUCAUUAACUUCCUAUUCAUCAUUCAAAAUUCACUUAAAGGGUUCUCCAGUGGCACAAUAGGUUAAGGAUCUGGCAUUGUCACUGCUGUGGUAUGGGUUUGAUCCCUGGCAUGGGAACUUCCUCAUGCCGUGGGUGUAGUCAAAACAAAAACCAAAAUUCACUUAAAAUAUCACCUUAUUUCUGAAGCCUAUAAAAAGUCAUUCUCCCAGAGUACUGAUCUUACAUUAACAAAAUUAUCAUAUCACAUUGUAUUUACUUGUUUCUUCCAAGUUCAUGUGGACUCCUCAAAAGCAGGGACAAUGAGUUAUAUUCCUUAUAUUUCCUGGCACAUGUCUGAUACAGAAUAAUCCAACAGUAAACACUAAUAACCAAAGAAGUAUAUGAGUGAAUGAUAAGGUAACCACAUUCUCAUAUCUAAAAAUAUUUAAAACGUUCCAUUCUUAGACCAGGCUGAGAAACUAACUUUUCCAAAUUUACUCUACUGAAAAUAAAUUUCCACUUCUGACUAAGGUCAGAUUCUAAAUAUAAGAAGUAUAAAGAAUAUAAAACCGGGCUUAAUUUACUCUCUUGGGUAAAGCGAUCUCUUUGUAAGAGAGUAAAUUUUCUUUCAGGAUUAUUUAAAGUAAAUAUUAUUUCUACAGCUAUCAUAAUUACCUGCAUUAUUUCUCUAUUAAACACUCAUUUUUUAAAUAGAAAAAAGCAUUUAAAUUUCUUUACCCACUCAACUUUUGGUUCCCUAUUUCACCUUUUUUUCUCCUGUAAGUAAAGACUUCUCUUAGAAAUGUACUUUGUCAGGGCAGACAACCAGGGUUUUAUCAACAAGGCAUGUACUACCGGGUCAGAGAAAAGUGAAGGAGCUAUCAUUCCCCUCUCCUGUGUUACUGCUUCCUUAUUCUGUGUUUCCAGAACGCUGGCGUUUAUUAACUGUCAAUCAUUCCAACUGAAUGCCCCUUCUAAGCGGUAUUAGGGAAGACCAGUUCUUCCUAUAGCACAAGCCACUCUUCCAGAAGGUAGAAUAUUUGUUCUAAAAUUAGAUCUAACUGUAUGUCUUCCAGCAAGUCUGUGGGUUUCUGUAAAUAAAAGCACUGGGCUCUAUUUUCAAACUCUUCCAUUUAGAGCUUGAGGUUUCUAAAGGGAUCCCUUUCAGUCUACCACAGAGGGACAGAGGAACUUAACUGAGGUGGGACAAUGGACCACAAACUCUCCACCACUCACCACCUCCAAUAAAAGCAACCUCUCUCUUACCUACUUCUGUUAAAAACGCUUCUAUGGUAAGUUUUUACUGUCAGAAAACAUUUGUUUUAUAGUUUAAAAACCACUUACCUAGAUGGUCCCCAAGGUUUCUUUCAACUAAUCCCUUAUUCUAAAAGAUCAAUAAAGACUGUGAGGAACUGGGACUUGGAUGCUUGUGUAUCUCAGACUGAAAGGAAAAGUAUCCACAGGGAAAGAAGAGAUACAAGUCAAAGUAUAGUCAUGCAGUCUUUCGAAAGUUUUCAAGUAGUUUUUACAGAGUUAUGGUAAAACUAAGACAAACACGACAUACUGCUCUCUAUUACUUGACUAAAACGUGCUUCCUAACUAGGGAUGUCCCCUCCCCCAAUAAAACAGCUCAAAACCCACGGUUCUUCCCUCUUUGCACUUCUUUUAAGAACUCAUCCUCUCACAUGGCUUCAAUUACUACUGAACAUUUUCCAAAUCUGGCAUGUCUCCAAGUUCAGAAUUUCUGUACAUCUAAGUGGUACCUAAUAUGGAAACGCUUCCUCAAUACAAAGGUGGUAUAUCUGUAAAUGAACUGAUCUUUCUUCUUUGAGCGUCCUUGGGGAAUAAAGUCUAAUCUUCUUUCACGAUGCAGAUAACCCUCCAUUAUCCUCAACAAAUCAAUGCCUUGCUUUCACUCCUCAUCUUUUCCCCCCGCUAUUCCUUCUACCUAUAGCACUAUCUGUAGUAUAUUUCUUAUCUGGUUAAGCCAUACCUGUGUUUCAAAGAUGAGCUGAGAUUUUGCCUCUUCUAAGAAGUUUUCCUAACUAUUCCCCCAGCAGUGCUAUCUGCCCCCUCUUUGCGGCGUCAUAUUACCUGGCGCCUUCCUCAAUCACAGCCCUUUUACUACAAAUAAGUACCUGUUUACCUAUCUGCCUCCAAUGCCAACUACGAGUCUCCUGGGGUCACUAUAUUAGCAUAGUAUCCCAUGGCAUAAUCUCUCUAUAUGUGGCUGGCUUGAGCUAAACCAUUAUAUUUCAUCAAUAAUAUCACUACUCUUCUAGACAUAUUUAACUCUCCUAUCACCUUCAUUCUCCAUGUCCAAACUCUCACAAAAAUACAAAAAUGAGUAGUUUUUUCUUUCAAAAGAUUUAUCUUCCAUCUUAAUGACUCACCCCAAGGCCACAAGUAAUACAAGGUCUCACCAUCUUCCACCUACAAAACAUACUACAAACGCUGCUGGCAGGUAUCUCUGUCUCCAGUCACUCCUCACAAAAUUGAACCUGCAUUCUUCCAUCAGGUUCACCACAAUAAAGCGUUAUGACACUACCUGUUCACUAACAAAUCAUUGCUUUCUGCUUGCCAUGACAUCAAUUUUAGACUGCUCUGACUAAAUCCACCUGUCAUUUACAACUUCAUUUUUUCUUAUUACCCAAUAUACUUCCUCUGGUCCAAUCAUGAAGUCCACAUGCAUAAUAGAAGCCUUCUUUCCUCUAAGCUUAUAUCUACAUUCUGGAUGUUUUCUAUUCCUCUCUUGUUAUCAAAAUCUUUCCUAUGCCUUUUGGCCAAAUAUAAAGCUCACUUAGUCUAAAUACUUCCAUACAGAACAUCAACACUAAAAUGUAAAGACAAAUAGGAGUCAGACACAUUCACAAGGAAACAUGGGUUUUCGUCUCUGCAGGAAUAUACGGUGAUGUGGUAAAGUGAUUUUCAGGGAGGAAAUGGUUCAGACAUUUAUAACAAAUACACAUUAAUAAUAAGGACAAACCUUGUCCUUGACCCUAGAGUCUAAUUAAUUACUUUCCCAAAUGUGUGUGAGCUGUUUUCUUCGACAAAUCUCUCUCAGAAGUUGACUAAUGAUGCUAUAAAAUCUGCUCAAACUCCAUAUUUGAACCAACAUAUCACUGCAACUCAUAUUGUUUAUGCUGCUCUGGAGGAAUAAUGCAAUUUCUAGUGGUUCUAAGAAACAGAACCUCCUCUAAUGAACCCCCAAAGGAAACUGGAGUAUUUAUAAAGAAUAAACAAGUCUGGACAACACUGACAUUCCUUGCUGGGGCCCUUAACCUUCCUGUGGCUUUCUUUAGGCUGAUUUUGCAAUGUCUUCUAUCUAAUGAAAGCUUUUUGAAAUGCUACUUUUUUUUCAUUACACUAAAACAAGGGAGGCCAGUUAGGAUCAGAAUGGGUAAUAAACAAAGGAAGGAAGGAAAUUGGGCAAUGAGAGAAACUAAGAAAAAGUUCAGUAAGAAAACAAUAAGUUUAUUCUCAAUUGAGACAAUCCAUUCCUUUAUUGAGCAAAUAUUUACGGUCUAUGAAAUACUACAUGUACCUAUUAAAUAAGCUAGGUACUAGUUACUGUGGACACUGAAGUUAAUUAAAGGCAGACUUAGAGACCACUUUUAUGAACUUUAUAGUCCAGAGUACUUGAAUAAGUGUGCCGUGAAUUUUAUAAGAACAGGAGAUAGACAUUGACUGCUUUGUUAAAUGCUUCUUAAUCAAAUGCAGCGGCAAGAUUCAAGUUCAUGUCAUUGGAUCUGCUUAUUUUCUCUACUUUUCAUAGAAGAAUGCCAAACCACAAGCAAGGAAGGUCUGUCACAUCAGGGCUCACAGUUAUCAUACUCAUGUUUUUACUUGCAGUGCCUAAAUUAGUGCCAAGAAUACAGUAGUAUCCCAAAAAAUAACAUGCGAAUGAAUGAAUGAAGUAAUCAAGUGGUGACAAUCGACAAGUAUCUCAGUCAGAAUUCCAGACUGUACAUCUUAACGUUUGAUACAUUUUAAUUGCUUAUUUCCUCAUUAAGCUUUUGAAUUGCUUUGGACUUUAUAAUAUUUAUAUUCAUACCAGGAUUAAAGACUUGUUUGUUGAAAUACAGUGAUUAGCUGAUUAAGAGAAAUUCCAAGUCUUGAGUCUGCAAUAACACAAGCCAAAUAACUCUGUUUUUUACCUGUCAAGAGGUAACAGUGGAACAAUAUGCCUAUUAUGGAUUUUCUAGGAGUUCCUGUUGUGGCUCAGUAGGUUAGGAAUCGAACUAGUAUCCAUGAUGAUGUAGGUUCGAGCCCUGGUCUUGGGUUAAGGAUCUAGUGCUGCCACAAGCUAUGCUGUAGGUCACAGAUGUGGCUUGGAUCUGGCAUUGCUGUGGCUGUGGUGUAGGCCAGUAGCUACAACUUCAAUUCAACCCCUAGCCUGGGAGCUUCCAUAUGCCAUGGGUGCAGCCCUAAAAAGACCAAAAAAAAAAAAA
rnacentral:lncRNA from 1 species